AAGCCAAGGCAAUCUUGGAAGGCUUUUCCGGUACCUUAGAACUCAUCUUGCUAAUGGAUGCACAAAAUAAAUUGACAUAAAGCACAAUGCUCACAGGCUCAAUGCCAGCUCGAAUGCAGUUCCGGGGGAGGAGUUUGACUGCUUGGCGCGCCCUGCCUUUUUUCCUAAGAGUGAAGACACCUUCUGUUAGCAAAAACAGAUGCUGCCUGACCUACUGAGUUCCUCCAGCAUCUUGUGUGUGUUUAACUGAAGAUGAGUAAGUGGUUGAGGAAACAAGAUGCUGCCUGACCUGCUGAGUUCCUCCGACAUUUUUAUGAGUUCUUCAGCAUCUUGCAGAACAUCUCGUUUAAAAUUUCACAACAUAUAUCUGUGAUAAUAAACCUGAUUCAGAGAUUCAGAUUCUGAAUUUAUCAGCUAACUCUGCCCAGUGCCAUGGUCUGUUUUUGAGCCGGAAUGAAAAUAGAAUAUGGAGGCUGUGGGACAGGGCUUUGAAUGUCCACAAAGACGCAUGUGUCCGAUGUCACCAAAUACUGUCAACAGUUUCUAACCCUGCCUGAACUCGGCAAGGCCUACGGGUUACUUUGGAACACAACAUCAGAAUCAGAAUCACAUUUAUUAUCAGUGACUUACAAGAUGUGAAAUUUGUUUUGUGGUAACUGUACAGUGCAAAGACAUAAAAAAUUCUAUAAAUUACAAAAUAAAUAAAUAGUGCAAAAGAAAAAAAAAAUAAGGAGGCAGUGUUUUUUCAUUGGUUCAAGGACUAUUCAGAAAGCUGAUGAAGGAGGGGAAGAAACUGUUCCUAAAUGGUCGAGU